rnacentral:rRNA from 1 species
GGAGGAAAAGAAACCAACAGGGAUUGCCCCAGUAACGGCGAGUGAAGCGGCAGCAGCUCAAAUUUGAAAUCUGGCACCCGCCCGGGUCCGAGUUGUAAUUUGAAGAGGAUGCUUUUGGUGCGGUGCCUUCCGAGUUCCCUGGAACGGGACGCCAUAGAGGGUGAGAGCCCCGUCUGGUUGGAUGCCAAACCUCUGUAAAGCUCCUUCGACGAGUCGAGUAGUUUGGGAAUGCUGCUCAAAAUGGGAGGUAUAUGUCUUCUAAAGCUAAAUAUUGGCCAGAGACCGAUAGCGCACAAGUAGAGUGAUCGAAAGAUGAAAAGCACUUUGAAAAGAGGGUUAAAUAGUACGUGAAAUUGUUGAAAGGGAAGCACUCAUGACCAGACUUGGGCCCGGUGAAUCAUCCAGCGUUCUCGCUGGUGCACUUUGCCGGCCCAGGCCAGCAUCAGUUCGUUGUGGGGGAAAAAGGCUUCGGGAACGUGGCUCCUUCGGGAGUGUUAUAGCCCGUUGCAUAAUACCCUGUGAUGGACUGAGGUUCGCGCUCCGCAAGGAUGCUGGCGUAAUGGUCAUCAGUGACCCGUCUUGAAACACGGACCAAGGAGUCGUCCUCGUAUGCGAGUGUUCGGGUGUCAAACCCCUACGCGUAAUGAAAGUGAACGUAGGUGAGAGCUUCGGCGCAUCACCGACCGAUCCUGAUGUUCUCGGAUGGAUUUGAGUAAGAGCAUACGGGGCCGGACCCGAAAGAAGGUGAACUAUGCCUGUAUAGGGUGAAGCCAGAGGAAACUCUGGUGGAGGCUCGCAGCGGUUCUGACGUGCAAAUCGAUCGUCAAAUAUGGGCAUGGGGGCGAAAGACUAAUCGAACCUUCUAGUAGCUGGUUUCCGC